rnacentral:rRNA from 1 species
UGUAUAAUGGGUCAGCGACUUAUAUUCUGUAGCAAGGUUAACCGAAUAGGGGAGCCGAAGGGAAACCGAGUCUUAACUGGGCGUUAAGUUGCAGGGUAUAGACCCGAAACCCGGUGAUCUAGCCAUGGGCAGGUUGAAGGUUGGGUAACACUAACUGGAGGACCGAACCGACUAAUGUUGAAAAAUUAGCGGAUGACUUGUGGCUGGGGGUGAAAGGCCAAUCAAACCGGGAGAUAGCUGGUUCUCCCCGAAAGCUAUUUAGGUAGCGCCUCGUGAAUUCAUCUCCGGGGGUAGAGCACUGUUUCGGCAAGGGGGUCAUCCCGACUUACCAACCCGAUGCAAACUGCGAAUACCGGAGAAUGUUAUCACGGGAGACACACGGCGGGUGCUAACGUCCGUCGUGAAGAGGGAAACAACCCAGACCGCCAGCUAAGGUCCCAAAGUCAUGGUUAAGUGGGAAACGAUGUGGGAAGGCCCAGACAGCCAGGAUGUUGGCUUAGAAGCAGCCAUCAUUUAAAGAAAGCGUAAUAGCUCACUGGUCGAGUCGGCCUGCGCGGAAGAUGUAACGGGGCUAAACCAUGCACCGAAGCUGCGGCAGCGACACUAUGUGUUGUUGGGUAGGGGAGCGUUCUGUAAGCCUGUGAAGGUGGCCUGUGAGGGUUGCUGGAGGUAUCAGAAGUGCGAAUGCUGACAUAAGUAACGAUAAAGCGGGUGAAAAGCCCGCUCGCCGGAAGACCAAGGGUUCCUGUCCAACGUUAAUCGGGGCAGGGUGAGUCGACCCCUAAGGCGAGGCCGAAAGGCGUAGUCGAUGGGAAACAGGUUAAUAUUCCUGUACUUGGUGUUACUGCGAAGGGGGGACGGAGAAGGCUAUGUUGGCCGGGCGACGGUUGUCCCGGUUUAAGCGUGUAGGCUGGUUUUCCAGGCAAAUCCGGAAAACCAAGGCUGAGGCGUGAUGACGAGGCACUACGGUGCUGAAGCGACAAAUGCCCUGCUUCCAGGAAAAGCCUCUAAGCAUCAGGUAACAUCAAAUCGUACCCCAAACCGACACAGGUGGUCAGGUAGAGAAUACCAAGGCGCUUGAGAGAACUCGGGUGAAGGAACUAGGCAAAAUGGUGCCGUAACUUCGGGAGAAGGCACGCUGAUAUGUAGGUGAAGCGACUUGCUCGUGGAGCUGAAAUCAGUCGAAGAUACCAGCUGGCUGCAACUGUUUAUUAAAAACACAGCACUGUGCAAACACGAAAGUGGACGUAUACGGUGUGACGCCUGCCCGGUGCCGGAAGGUUAAUUGAUGGGGUUAGCGGUAACGCGAAGCUCUUGAUCGAAGCCCCGGUAAACGGCGGCCGUAACUAUAACGGUCCUAAGGUAGCGAAAUUCCUUGUCGGGUAAGUUCCGACCUGCACGAAUGGCGUAAUGAUGGCCAGGCUGUCUCCACCCGAGACUCAGUGAAAUUGAACUCGCUGUGAAGAUGCAGUGUACCCGCGGCAAGACGGAAAGACCCCGUGAACCUUUACUAUAGCUUGACACUGAACAUUGAGCCUUGAUGUGUAGGAUAGGUGGGAGGCUUUGAAGUGUGGACGCCAGUCUGCAUGGAGCCGACCUUGAAAUACCACCCUUUAAUGUUUGAUGUUCUAACGUUGGCCCGUAAUCCGGGUUGCGGACAGUGUCUGGUGGGUAGUUUGACUGGGGCGGUCUCCUCCUAAAGAGUAACGGAGGAGCACGAAGGUUGGCUAAUCCUGGUCGGACAUCAGGAGGUUAGUGCAAUGGCAUAAGCCAGCUUGACUGCGAGCGUGACGGCGCGAGCAGGUGCGAAAGCAGGUCAUAGUGAUCCGGUGGUUCUGAAUGGAAGGGCCAUCGCUCAACGGAUAAAAGGUACUCCGGGGAUAACAGGCUGAUACCGCCCAAGAGUUCAUAUCGACGGCGGUGUUUGGCACCUCGAUGUCGGCUCAUCACAUCCUGGGGCUGAAGUAGGUCCCAAGGGUAUGGCUGUUCGCCAUUUAAAGUGGUACGCGAGCUGGGUUUAGAACGUCGUGAGACAGUUCGGUCCCUAUCUGCCGUGGGCGCUGGAGAACUGAGGGGGGCUGCUCCUAGUACGAGAGGACCGGAGUGGACGCAUCACUGGUGUUCGGGUUGUCAUGCCAAUGGCACUGCCCGGUAGCUAAAUGCGGAAGAGAUAAGUGCUGAAAGCAUCUAAGCACGAAACUUGCCCCGAGAUGAGUUCUCCCUGACUCCUUGAGGGUCCUGAAGGAACGUUGAAGACGACGACGUUGAUAGGCCGGGUGUGUAAGCGCAGCGAUGCGUUGAGCUAACCGGUACUAAUGAACCGUGAGGCUUAACCUU